rnacentral:rRNA from 1 species
GACGUAGGGCGCGAGCGUUGUCCGGAUUUAUUGGGCGUAAAGAGCUCGUAGGCGGCUUGUUACGUCGUUCGUGAAAACUUGGGGCUCAACCCCAAGCUUGCGGUCGAUACGGGCAGGCUAGAGUUCGGUAGGGGAGACUGGAAUUCCUGGUGUAGCGGUGAAAUGCGCAGAUAUCAGGAGGAACACCGGUGGCGAAGGCGGGUCUCUGGGCCGUAACUGACGCUGAGGAGCGAAAGCGUGGGGAGCGAACAGG